AGCGAACGUUAGCGGCGCGCCUAACACAUGCAAGUCGUACGAGAAAGGGCUUCGGCCCCGGUAAAGUGGCGCACGGGUGCGUAACACGUAGGUAAUCUUCCCUCGAGCGGUGGAUAACUUCUCGAAAGGGACGCUAAUACCGCAUAAGACCACGGCCGGUUCGCCGGACGCGGUCAAAGCUGGCCUCUGCAUGCAAGCUAGCACUUGAGGAUGAGCCUGCGGCCUAUCAGCUAGUUGGUAAGGUAACGGCUUACCAAGGCUACGACGGGUAGCUGGUCUGAGAGGAUGAUCAGCCACACUGGUACUGAAACACGGGCCAGACUCCUACGGGAGGCUG
rnacentral:rRNA from 1 species